rnacentral:rRNA from 1 species
CCUACGGGCGGCUUCAGUGGGGAAUAUUGGACAAUGGGGGGAACCCUGAUCCAGCCAUGCCGCGUGUGUGAAGAAGGCCCUCGGGUUGUAAAGCACUUUCAGUGAGGAAGAACGCCUGGUGGUUAAUACCCAUCAGGAAAGACAUCACUCACAGAAGAAGCACCGGCUAACUCCGUGCCAGCAGCCGCGGUAAUACGGAGGGUGCGAGCGUUAAUCGGAAUUACUGGGCGUAAAGCGCGCGUAGGUGGCUUGAUAAGCCGGUUGUGAAAGCCCCGGGCUCAACCUGGGAACGGCAUCCGGAACUGUCAAGCUAGAGUGCAGGAGAGGAAGGUAGAAUUCCCGGUGUAGCGGUGAAAUGCGUAGAGAUCGGGAGGAAUACCAGUGGCGAAGGCGGCCUUCUGGACUGACACUGACACUGAGGUGCGAAAGCGUGGGUAGCAAACAGGAUUAGAUACCCCAGUAGUC